rnacentral:rRNA from 1 species
CGCUGGCGGCGUGCCUAAUACAUGCAAGUCGAACGCACUCUCGUUUAGAUUGAAGGAGCUUGCUCCUGAUUGAUAACAUUUGAGUGAGUGGCGGACGGGUGAGUAACACGUGGGUAACCUGCCCUAAAGUGGGGGAUAACAUUUGGAAACAGAUGCUAAUACCGCAUAAAACCUAACACCGCAUGGUGUAGGGUUGAAAGAUGGUUUCGGCUAUCACUUUAGGAUGGACCCGCGGUGCAUUAGUUAGUUGGUGAGGUAAAGGCUCACCAAGACCGUGAUGCAUAGCCGACCUGAGAGGGUAAUCGGCCACACUGGGACUGAGACACGGCCCAGACUCCUACGGGAGGCAGCAGUAGGGAAUCUUCCACAAUGGACGAAAGUCUGAUGGAGCAACGCCGCGUGAGUGAAGAAGGUUUUCGGAUCGUAAAACUCUGUUGUUGGAGAAGAAUGUAUCUGAUAGUAACUGAUCAGGUAGUGACGGUAUCCAACCAGAAAGCCACGGCUAACUACGUG